rnacentral:rRNA from 1 species
CUAUGGGCCUAGAUUCUGCGUAAUAAGUACCUUCAAUCCAAAAUCUUGUCCUAGGUGACGGUAAGGCCGACUAAUUCGCCUUUUUGGAAAGGACUGAUGAGAGUGAAAUCAGUAUUUUUUAACAAGACAAAAUUUGUAGUUGGAAAUGGUACUUCCACGAGAUUCAGGGAGGAUACAUGGCUAGGAGAGACGCCCCUUGCACUCCAAUAUCCUUCUCUCUAUAAUUUUGUUCAGCGAAGAGACGCUUACGUUGCAACAGUAUUACAGUCCAAUCCUCUUAAUAUUCAAUUAAGGAGGACGUUAGCAGGAAACCAUUGGGAAGGUUGGCUCCAUCUUGUGAGAAAAUUGAUGGAUGUCCUGUUGGGGAACGUAGUAAUUUCAAAAAAAAAAUCCUACGAUCACGCAAGAUCUAUCUAG